UAGGGAAUCUUCCGCAAUGGACGAAAGUCUGACGGAGCAACGCCGCGUGAGUGAAGAAGGUUUUCGGAUCGUAAAACUCUGUUGUAAGAGAAGAACAAAUUGUAGAGUAACUGCUACAGUCUUGACGGUAUCUUACCAGAAAGCCACGGCUAACUACGUGCCAGCAGCCGCGGUAAUACGUAGGUGGCAAGCGUUGUCCGGAUUUAUUGGGCGUAAAGGGGGCGCAGGCUGCUUCUUAAGUCUGAUGUGAAAGCCCACGGCUUAACCGUGGAAGUGCAUUGGAAACUGGGAAGCUUGAGUACAGAAGAGGAAAGUGUAACUCCAUGUGUAGCGGUGGAAUGCGUAGAUAUAUGGAAGAACACCAGUGGCGAAAGCGACUUUCUGGUCUGUCACUGACGCUGAGGCCCGAAAGCGUGGGUAGCAAACAGG
rnacentral:rRNA from 1 species